GAUGAACGCUAGCGGGAGGCCUAACACAUGCAAGCCGAGCGGUAUUGUUUCUUCGGAAAUGAGAGAGCGGCGUACGGGUGCGGAACACGUGUGCAACCUGCCUUUAUCUGGGGGAUAGCCUUUCGAAAGGAAGAUUAAUACUCCAUAAUAUAUUGAUUGGCAUCAAUUAAUAUUGAAAGCUCCGGCGGAUAGAGAUGGGCACGCGCAAGAUUAGCUAGUUGGUGAGGUAACGGCUCACCAAGGCGAUGAUCUUUAGGGGGCCUGAGAGGGUGAUCACCCACACUGGUACUGAGACACGGACCAGACUCCUACGGGAGGCAGCAGUGAGGAAUAUUGGUCAAUGGGUGCAAGCCUGAACCAGCCAUCCCGCGUGAAGGACGACUGCCCUAUGGGUUGUAAACUUCUUUUGUAUAGGGAUAAACCUACCCUCGUGAGGGUAGCUGAAGGUACUAUACGAAUAAGCACCGGCUAACUCCGUGCCAGCCGCCGCGGUAAAAC
rnacentral:rRNA from 1 species